GGCACAUAUUAGCUGUUUGGCUUGUGUUAGAUUAGUGAAUGCUUUUGAGAUCACUGGGAGAUGACUGAAGUAUUUUCAAAUCAUGAACAUGCUGGCCUCUUGCUUUCAAGUCCAGAAGGAUGAUUAUUAUUAGGACCAGGAGACAGCUCACUUGCCUUUCAUGAGCAGAGUCCUAUGUUCCAGUCCCAGUAUCACACGGGAGCAUCACGGAUAGCGCCAGGGGAAGCUCCACGAAUGCCCUGGCUGCCAGGGAGCCCAGGAGGACCACCCCAAGGAAGACCUUCAGCCUGGACCUCCAGUCUUUCCUGGCUGUUUUCCUUGUAGGAAUUCAAAGAGCAAGAGCCACCAGGUUCCAGAUGCUCUGAUGAUGCCAACUGGACUUCCCUGGGCAGACGACCCCACCAGUGUCCUGGAGCCCUGCCUCCCCAGAACCCUGACACACUAGGGAAAGAGAGAGACAGGCUGAGAGUAUGGAUCCACCUGCCAACACCCACAUUUAGUGGGGAAGCAAUUACAGAAGCCAAAUCUUCCACCUUCUGCACCCCAUAAUGACCCUGGGUCCAUACUCACAGAGGGAUAAAGAAUAGGAAAGCUUUCAAGGGAGGGGAUGGGAUAUGGAGUUCUGGUGGUGGGAAUUAUGUGGAAUUGUACCCCUCUUAUCCUGUGGUCUUG